UACGAAGGGGGCUAGCGUUGCUCGGAAUCACUGGGCGUAAAGGGUGCGUAGGCGGGUCUUAAGUCAGGGGUGAAAUCCUGGAGCUCAACUCCUGAACUGCCUUUGAUACUGAGGAUCUUGAGUUCGGGAGAGGUGAGUGGAACUGCGAGUGUAGAGGUGAAAUUCGUAGAUAUUCGCAAGAACACCAGUGGCGAAGGCGGCUCACUGGCCCGAUACUGACGCUGAGGCACGAAAGCGUGGGGAGCAAACAGG
rnacentral:rRNA from 1 species